rnacentral:rRNA from 1 species
AGAGUUUGAUCCUGGCUCAGAAUGAACGUUGGCGGCGUGGAUUAGGCAUGCAAGUUGAGCGUACCCAGCAAUGGGGAGCAGCGUAAGGGGCAGUAAGGCAUAGGUAGCUACCUGAGGUUCGGGCAUAGCCUGUAGAGAUACAGGGUAAUUCCCGAUGAUGUCGCAAGACCAAAGAUUUAUCGACCUCAGAGGUGCCUAUGUGAUAUUAGCUAGUUGGUGAGGUAAUGGCUCACCAAGGCGAAGAUGUCUAGCGGGUGUGAGAGCACGACCCGCGCCAUUGGCACUGAGACACUGGCCAAACACCUACGGGUGGCUGCAGUCGAGGAUCUUCGGCAAUGGACGAAAGUCUGACCGAGCGACGCCGCGUGUGCGAUGAAGGCCUUCGGGUUGUAAAGCACUGUCGAGAGGGAGAAAAGCGAAAGUUGAUCUUCUCUGAGAG